rnacentral:lncRNA from 1 species
ACUUGAUCAAUUGAUCAAGAUGAAUUAGAUUUGGAUCAAGGAAGAUUAAGUCUCCCUAAUCAAUGCUAACUUGUCAACCUUCAACUCAUUGAUAAAAAAAAGAAAAAAAAAGAAGAAGAAGGAGAUGAAUAAGAGAAAAAGAAAUGGCAAAAUUAAAGUGCAUUAAAUGAAAUAACAUGUACCAAUCCACAUAUGUUGACCAAUGGCAUUGAAAGUCAAAGUCA